rnacentral:rRNA from 1 species
AGUGAACGCUGGCGGCAGGCCUAACACAUGCAAGUCGAGCGGCAGCGGGUUCCCGCGAGGGGAUGCCGGCGAGCGGCGGACGGGUGAGGAACACAUCGGAAUCUGCCUGGUUGUGGGGGAUAACGUAGGGAAACUUACGCUAAUACCGCAUGCGACCCUGAGUCGACGGACUGGGGGUGAAAGUGAGGGACCUUCGGGCCUCACGCGACCAGAUGAGCCGAUGUCGGANAGCUAGUUGGCGGGGUAACGGCCCGCCAAGGCGACGAUCCGUAGCUGGUCUGAGAGGAUGAUCAGCCACACUGGGACUGAGACACGGCCCAGACUCCUACGGGA